CCUUCUUGUGCACCGGGGUCUUUGCAGAUCCUCUCUGCGCAGAGCUGGCCGUGCCACUGGCCCGGCCGAAAAGAAACGUUGCGGACGAAGCGAACUACAUCGGGACGCUUUGGCCGCCGAGCGAAAAAAAAACACCAUUGAGCUCGA
rnacentral:rRNA from 1 species